GAGAAGCGGCGGCUGCCCGAGUCUCGCGAGAGCCGGCGGUGCCGCCGCCGCCAUGGAGCCGCCGGUGCGCGGCCCGCCGGGGCUGUCGGCCGUGCUGGCGAGCACGGACUGGUCGGAGCCCUGGCUGCUGGGGCUGGCGGCUUUCCACCUGCUCUGCUUCCUGCUGACGUGCGCGUCCCUGCAGCACCGCCGGGUGCAGGUCGGGCACUUCCUCUGCAUGGGUGAGUGCGCGGGCACCGGAGCAGUGCCUGCAGCUUCUCCGCUGGCAGGUGGGCUUAGUGUACUGCGCUGAAUAUAUCAAUGAAUUAGCAGCCAUGAAUUGGAGGCUCUUUUCUAAGUAUCAAUACUUUGAUUCAAGAGGAAUGUUUAUUUCACUUGUAUUUUCAGCACCACUGCUGGUGAAUACUAUUAUAAUUGUGGUCACCUGGGUUUACGGAACUUUGAAUGUAAUGACUGAACUAAAAAUGCUACAGCAGAGAAGGAAAGCAGAAAAAGAGAAAAAGAAGUGAAAGCGCCAAACAAUAUUUUUCUUUCUUCAGUUGCAAUAAUGCCUGUCUGGGUAAUCAGUCCUUCUGUAUGGGUAUGCAGGAACAGAAUUAUUUUUGUGUCUGAAUUCAAGAGCACUUUGUAACCGUGGCUGUGGACAUUGAGGUGAAAGCAGGUAUCUACAGUACAUUUGAAUUGGCUGUGAAAUUAUGAAACCAGUCCUAACAGGUCUUUGUGCCCUUCAGCGUAUGAUUGUUUUCCUCCAUGACCAAGGCUAUUAGUAUUGAUGAGACACAAUCUUCCAGUUCCCAUUUGCCUGUGUAUUUUUUUACUAUGCCUUUAUUCUGUGCUUAUCAAUAUCAGUUAUUCUGCUGCUUUAGCCAAUUGGAGCUGUGUUGUGAAUUACAGUAAAUGAGAGAUUUUAUUCAGAAUAACUCAGGAAUCCAUGCUUCUGUGAAGCACUUCAGUUCUUUAUAAAUCAAGGUUCAUACUUCCUAUGUGUACUGUGUGCCAGUGGCAUUUUAUAAAUAAAACUAUCCACUCACUGUAUCUUAAAUUGAGUUAAUUUGUCUUCAUUUUUAAUCAGACUUUUUCCUUCUUGUUUUCCCAUAAAAAUUUUUGGCAAAUUCCCCAGUUUAAUGCGUGUAAAUAAUUCAAAAUGAUCUCUGCAUUUCUGUCAAUUUAUACUUCAUGUUUUUAAGGCUUCUAGAUAAAACCAUUUUUAUAAAACUGGAUGAAAAUUUGAUUGUUUUAUUCUUCUUUGUAGAACAGAAAGGAAGGGAAGAAACUUAGUAAUGUUACAUGCAGUUUUGUUCUCUUUUUAAUGCUUUUUAAAAUAAAUAACAAAAUUAAAAGUAGGUAAUAAUGAAGAAGGCUUUAGUUUUGCUUCAAAUAGCCUGCUUUCAUUAAGGUAAUUUGAGAAGGGGUGUGGACACAAUGGAGACUGCCCAUAUUUAGCAAAAGUUGUAUCUUUGUGUGGAGAUGCACACUUCUGUUCUAAAAUAGGUGUCAUUUAAGACAGGAAAGAUGAUCUACAAAACUGAUGUUACACUAAUGGGAAAAACAUUUGGGUACAGAAUUGCAGAACACUAGUAAGUUUAUAAGCUAAGGAAGUAUUUGUGAAACUGAUUUUAAUUACUUGAAUAGUCUUCACAAGAGAGGAGACAGGGACGCAAGGAAGAGAGCAGCUGCAUGUCAUACAGGGUUUGCAAGUCUCCUAAACAGGGAGAAAGUGAAACUCCUGCUGAAAGGGCAAUGAAGUGUUAGUGUUGGAUCCAUUUCUUUACCUUUCCCAUGCCUCUUAGGCAUUCCUUUAUCCAUUCAUAGCUUCAUCCAGAGCUACUGGCAGCUAGACUGUUUUAUAUUAGCAAACUAAAUAGAUGGAGGUUUGUGUGUUGUGCCAUUCUGACCAUUCUGCUGUGACUCUUGGUGCAGUGUUGGGUGGUGCCGACAGUAUGGAGAAAUCUCAAGUAGUCUUGUACAUAACGUGUGCUUUUUGGGAGGGAGUGAAGAGAGUCUAUCCAAAAGGCUGCCAGGUGGACUUUGGCAGCUGUCACCAGAACCAAAGAACAGACCUUUUUGAUUUCAUAGACACAGGAUGUUGUCCUGUCAGGCUGGUUUAUAAAAGUUCAGCCUUGCUCUGCGGGUGGCUUGCUGUAGCUUCCCCAGGCAGGUGCUGUCGGAGUGCCUGCAGCACCCGGAGCAACCCCAUGGUGGUCUGCAGUGACAACUUCCCCAGCCCACCAGACGCCCGAGCCCGGAUGCUGUACUUGUUGCCACAGCAGAAGAAAAAAGAGAGUCCUCUGCUCGGCAAGGUCCAGUAGGGUUUAUUCAGGAACAGUUGGAGGGCAGCAGGUAGGCAGGGUAGACACAGGAGCAGGGAGAGCAGGCUACUACUCAGCAGGCUACUACAGACAGCCACUCCUGAAAGGCACCAGGAGCAAGGGCGGGGCUGCGGUAUAUAACAGAAAGGAUGUAGGAGGGGUUGGAGUACAACUGGACCAAUGGGGAGAGAAGCCAGGGGAGGAGUUGGAGUGAGUGAUUGGGACUCGGCCAAUGGGGAAGUGUUGUUUCAGGGAGAGCCAAAGAGGAAACAGGGUACAGAACUUUCUGGAACUGGGGAGUACAUAACUGGGGACUGACAGCACAACAUUUGCUUUAACAACAAAGGGUGGUGGGGAAUUGUAUCAGUGCCUCACCAUAAGUUAGACAAUGGUGUUCUCCCAAGGCAUUCUGACCCUGUCCUCCCCAUAAGCAUCUCCCACAUUGCUCCUACAAUUUGAUGGAAAGAGUUGCAAUUUUAACACACAGCCCUAAGCACGACUGCUCAAAUGUUGUGCUCCUGACUUUGCUGUUGAUAACUGUUCCGCAAAAAUCAGCGCACAGUUGUUUUAGUAUCACACACUUGAAGCUGUAAUACUUCAUAUGGAGAUACCACCUGUUAUCAAGUAACCUUUGUUUCACAGUGUGAUGUGUAUGAAUUUGAUUCACAGUAAGUGAGGAGGUUCAGAGCAGCUGACUAACGAGUCUUGCAGUGGAAAACAGUGUGCCUUAUUUAGUACAUCCAAGGCAAAUUUUCUCCAAAUAGUUUCCUAUUUUGCCUUUCUUGUGUGUGAUGUCAGUAAAAAGAUGAAUAAUACUUGGUUUCAAAAGCACGAUGGCAUUUUUUG
rnacentral:lncRNA from 1 species